CACAGGUGGAAUUUUGGAAAGGUGAGGCGGUGGACAUUCAAUUCUGUAAGCGGAACAGAGCAAGAAUGGUUACAACUCUAGCAUCGACAGCUUGUUCUUAAGGAAGAGGAGCAGAAAAGAUGCAGGACAGGCUGCCAGUGCUGCAGUGAUCUGACAGUGUACAGCAGGACUGUGACCUCCUGACCCUCUCUGAGAGACAUCAGGACUGCACAGAUGGGAGGCACACCUUAGACCCUGUAUGAUUCACUUUCGUUCUGAUUACUGCUUUAAUAUGGUGCAACAGCUCUUUUCCUGACCAGGUUCCUGUUUAGAGGCCUUCCUGUAAAUGUCAUGUGUUUCCAUGAAUAAAUCAGACUUUAUGACUACACAAUUGCAGCAUUUCUAUGUGCUAGCACUUGCUUUGUGUAACUUAAUUGUACAGUCAAUACGUUUGCUUUCAGUUUUAAAUUACCAGAACAAUAUAAUAUAAUAUAUAUAUGUGUGUGUGUGUGUGUGUGUGUGUGUGUGUAAGAGAAAGAACAGUAUCUAUGAGAACAGUACUUUUUUGGUUUUAGUGGCUUGAUGGGAAAUGUAUAGAAACUAGUGCUAUUAAAUGAUUAAUCGUGAUUAAUUGCAUUCAAAAUAAAAGUUUUUGCUUACAUAA